GGCGGAGGGACCCCAGGCCGGGGCUUCAUUGGAGCCCAGCCCUGCCCACCGCCGCAGCCGCGCAUGCGCCAUGUGCCGGCUGCUUUGGACCCUCCCGCGUGCCGUUCUUACCCGGCCUGCCCCGCGCUGCCGCUUCCGGAAGUGGAUCUUGUCUCCUCCCAAGCGAAGCGUUUGUGCCUGAACCUGCCGGGACUGCGACGGCAUCGCAGUGCUGCAGAAUCCCGGGGGCCAAGGGCGGGCUGCUUGCCGCUAUGGCUGGCAGUCAGGAUAUAUUCGAUUCCAUCGUGAUGGCGGAUGAGAGGUUUCAUGCGGAAGGGUAUCGGGAAGGCUAUGAAGAAGGCAGUAGUUUGGGUGUGACGGAGGGAAGACAACAUGGCACGCUGCAUGGAGCCAAAAUCGGGUCUGAGAUCGGGUGCUACCAGGGUUUUGCUUUUGCAUGGAAAUGUCUACUGCACAGUUGCACCACUGAGAAGGACAGGGCAGGCGCCUGUGGAGCCAACACACCAACCACCCUGGCUCCACUUUCCGCCCUGGAAGGAGUGCUCUACAAGGCAGGAAGGGUAGACAGCAGGUGCUUCAUAAAGGCCAGAGAUUCGACCUGCAGCUGACAAGUAGUAACCAUCAGUGGCGUGGGACCUGAGCUUCCACUUGGCUUGGGGUAAGGACAGACCAACCUCACAGAUGGGUCCGGGAGCAGUGACCAAGGUCCGCGGACACCUUCCCAGGGCACUCCCACUACCCACCUCCACCCCGGGGUUUGAAGUUAGGUUCGGUCACAUGCACCUGAAAUCCAGAAGUGGACGUCACAGACAUCCUAUAAGGCAGCCUCCAGGUCUCCACAAUCCCAGUGAAAGGCCACCCUGGAUCACAGCCCUGACACGGUGCUUUGCUCUCGUGGAGCCUGGCGUUGCCAAAGGAUCAUGAUUCAUCCAGAGCAAACAGCAGUUUGUGCCAGAAGAGGGUUAACAAAUGCCGGCUUUAUUUAUUUUCCUAUCUGCAAAUAACCUGAGAAGACAAACUGGUGGGGCAAGCAAGGGAUGGAAGAUGUUCCCAAUCAAUGGGCACCACUCACGUCACCCAGGCUGGAGCUGUUGUCUCGCGUGGUUGGAGGUGGGCUCACCCAGCCAGGCUGUCUGCAAACUAUUCUUUGGAGCCUCCCUGGGACAGGAGUCCCCCUCCCACCUCACACACCUGUGCUCAGGACUUCUUCCCAGUUGGGAAGGGUGUGCCUGCUCCUGGCUGGAUUCUGUCCCCACCCCCGGGGAUGUGGCAGUGUCAGGAGACAUUCUUGGUUGUCACAGCGGGUGGCGUGACUGUCAUCCUGUGGGUGGAGGUCAGGAUGCUGCUGAACUUCCCGCAGUGCACAGGACAGGCUGUGGCCUCCCACAUCUGCCGAGCCUGCCACCCUGCCCUGGUUCUGGGGCACCGGGACACGCGCCCCUGGCUCACAGUCAGUCCAGGAAGCAAACAGGCAGGCACCAUGCUGGGGUUUUACCAGUUUUAUUUCUAGACUUUCACGUUUGUCUUUUUGUCUUCUGCUGGAAACAUGCCGGUUACAUGUUGGUGCUGGGAAGCGCCGCGGUGCAACCAGAAACACACGGACCCAGCCGCCUGCCGCCCAGACCCUCAGACUUGCGCGUCACAGGACAGACUCCACUGUGCCCCGUGCACUUGCCACCAGCCUUUGGCCUCUCGAUACACACAACAUCCAGGACUUGUGCCCUUGCCCCAUCACGACAGACAAAGCGUCCCUCAAGGCCCCCGCGUGGUUCAGACAGACGCCGCAGCCAGGGUGGUUGAGCUACACGCAAAGAAUGACACAGCUGUAAAAACUACUAUGAUGAUACGCCCCCGAUCAGAUGAAGAGCCCAGCAUCACAGGCGCAGGGAAGAGAAGAUGGACACAGCCUGGUCUCCAGGGACACCGGCACGGUUCUCACGCACGCGGCCUCGGGGCCGGCCCCCACCAGCCUGUGUGGGAUCGCGCCCGCGUGUCUGCCCGCCGAAGCAGACAGAACCUGCCCGCUGGGUCCACCAUGGCUAAGUGAAGCAUGAGGUAUUGUGAAACAGGAACCUUUUUGGAAUAGAGCAGUAAUCACAUUAAGUCAAAAUUGAUCACAUAAAAAAAAAAAAAAACUACAAAAAAGGCAUCUGUAA